AGCAGCCGCGGUAAUUCCAGCUCCAAUAGCGUAUAUUAAAGUUGUUGCAGUUAAAAAGCUCGUAGUUGAAUUUCGGGGUUAGUAGGUUGGUCAUGCCUCUGGUAUGUACUGGUCUCACUGAUUCCUCCUUCCUGAUGAGCCGUAAUGCCAUUAAUUUGGUGUUGCGGGGAAUUUGGACUGUUACUUUGAAAAAAUUAGAGUGUUUAAAGCAAGCUAACGCUUGAAUACAUUAGCAUGGAAUAAUGAAAUAGGACGUUCGAUCCUAUUUUGUUGGUUUCUAGGAUUGACGUAAUGAUUAAUAGGGAUAGUUGGGGGCAUUAGUAUUCAAUUGUCAGAGGUGAAAUUCUUGGAUUUAUUGAAGACUAACUACUGCGAAAGCAUUUGCCAAGGAUGUUUUCAUU
rnacentral:rRNA from 1 species